rnacentral:snoRNA from 1 species
GAUCAAUGAUGAUUAAUUAAAACUUUCGUUCUUCCGAGUUUAUAUGCGGAAAAACCUGGAGACCUGAUCUGAUGUAUC